CAUUCCGCGUGCAGGACGAAGGCUUCGGGUUGUAAACUGCUUUUGUACGGAACGAAAAGGUCCUGGUUAAUACCCGGGGCUCAUGACGGUACCGUAAGAAUAAGCACCGGCUAACUACGUGCCAGCAGCCGCGGUAAUACGUAGGGUGCAAGCGUUAUCGGAAUUACUGGGCGUAAAGCGUGCGCAGGCGGUUAUGUAAGACAGAUGUGAAAUCCCCGGGCUCAACCUGGGAACUGCAUUUGUGACUGCAUAGCUAGAGUACGGUAGAGGGGGAUGGAAUUCCGCGUGUAGCAGUGAAAUGCGUAGAUAUGCGGAGGAACACCGAUGGCGAAGGCAAUCCCCUGGACCUGUACUGACGCUCAUGCACGAAAGCGUGGGGAGCAAACAGGAUUAGAUACCCUGGUAGUCCACGCCCUAAACGAUGUCAACUGGUUGUUGGGUCUUCACUGACUCAGUAACGAAGCUAACGCGUGAAGUUGACCGCCUGGGGAGUACGGCCGCAAGGGUUGAAACUCAAAGCGAAUUGACGGGAGAC
rnacentral:rRNA from 1 species